rnacentral:rRNA from 1 species
CCUACGGGUGGCAGCAGUGGGGAAUAUUGGGCAAUGGGCGCAAGCCUGACCCAGCAACGCCGCGUGAAGGAAGCAGGCUUUCGGGUUGUAAACUUCUUUUCUGGGGGACGAACAAAUGACGGUACCCCAGGAAUAAGCCACGGCUAACUACGUGCCAGCAGCCGCGGUAAUACGUAGGUGGCAAGCGUUAUCCGGAUUUAUUGGGUGGAAAGGGCGUGUAGGCGGGAAUGCAAGUCAGAUGGGAAAACUCAGGGCUCAACCCUGAGCCUGCAUGUGAAACUGUGUUUCUUGAGUGCUGGAGAGGCAAUCGGAAUUCCGUGUGUAGCGGUGAAAUGCGUAGAUAUACGGAGGAACACCAGUGGCGAAGGCGGAUUGCUGGACAGUAACUGACGCUGAGGCGCGAAAGCGUGGGGAGCAAACAGGAUUAGAUACCCCAGUAGUC